rnacentral:lncRNA from 1 species
CGUACAGACGGUAUCGACCAUGCGGUAAAGAAGUGUUACCGCGAGAAGAAGUUCACGUUCGGAUCAUGUUUUACCUCGACCAAAGAAGGCAUAUGACCGUUGAUGGAUAGAGGAAGAGCGUCUCUACAGGCUGGCACAGGCUGGAAGGGUAAGGGUCACUUUUAGCAUAGUGAAAGAGCGUCUCUACAGGCUGGCACAAGCUGGAAGGAUAAGGUUCACUUUUAGCAUAGUGACCACGCGUGUGGAGAGGCUCAUUGGUCCGGUUCAAAUUAAAGGCUCCCUUAGCUUUGACCUCACAUGCUUAGUCUCUUCUUAAACCCUAGUAUCACACUCCUAUAUAUUGUAAACACUCACUCAUCAAUAAGAUUAAGCGGAUUAUGUUACUCUCUCUCUAGUCUCUCUCUUGUUCAUCAUGGAUCAUACAUAAUCUCUCCAUUUCUUUCACAAUCUCUUCUAAACUUCUCUUAAUCUCUUACCAAAUCUCUCUUAAUCUCUCAAUACCGAUUCUACUCUCUAAAAUCUCACAAGAUCUUUGGGUGUUUGUGUUUUGUGAUGGUGCCUGGAGAGAUAAGAAAC